AGGAUAAACGCUGGCGGCGUGCCUAACACAUGCAAGUCGAACGAGGUAGCAAUACCUAGUGGCAGACGGGUGAGUAACACGUGGUCAACCUGCCUCCGUGUGGGGGAUAACUAGCCGAAAGGUUAGCUAAUACCGCAUACGAUCGCUUAAAGGCAUCUUUGAGCGAUGAAAGGAGUAAUCCGCACGGAGAGGGGACUGCGUCCCAUUAGUUAGUUGGUGGGGUAACGGCUCACCAAGGCGACGACGGGUA
rnacentral:rRNA from 1 species